rnacentral:lncRNA from 1 species
GAUUGUGUAUUUCCAUAGUUGGUCCAUUUAGGUAGAGUCUUAAUUCCCAGUUAUCUGCUGAGAAAGAUUGGAUUGAAGUACCAAUACUACUUUCCAACAAAGUCGAGCUUCCAUCUAUUAAUUAACAUUUGUAUUUAUUGUUCCAGGUAUCUAGCGCCCAGAAACCUGUAGUCGGCCUUCGGUUAUAUCUUGAGGGUAGGAAGUGCAAUCAGUUGGCCAUCCAUGUCCAGCACCUCUCUAGUGUCCCAAGCAUGCUUGGAGACUCGAUGGCAUCUUCAAUGUCUGAGUGGCNGUACCAAUACUACUUUCCAACAAAGUCGAGCUUCCAUCUAUUAAUUAACAUUUGUAUUUAUUGUUCCAGGUAUCUAGCGCCCAGAAACCUGUAGUCGGCCUUCGGUUAUAUCUUGAGGGUAGGAAGUGCAAUCAGUUGGCCAUCCAUG